UUGACCUCGGAUCAGGUAGGAAUACCCGCUGAACUUAAGCAUAUCAAUAAGCGGAGGAAAAGAAACCAACAGGGAUUGCCCUAGUAACGGCGAGUGAAGCGGCAACAGCUCAAAUUUGAAAUCUGGCCUCGGCCCGAGUUGUAAUUUGCAGAGGAUGCUUCUGGCGCGGUGCCUUCCGAGUUCCCUGGAACGGGACGCCACAGAGGGUGAGAGCCCCGUAUGGUCGGACACCAAGCCUGUGUGAAGCUCCUUCGACGAGUCGAGUAGUUUGGGAAUGCUGCUCUAAAUGGGAGGUAAAUCUCUUCUAAAGCUAAAUACCGGCCAGAGACCGAUAGCGCACAAGUAGAGUGAUCGAAAGAUGAAAAGCACCUUGAAAAGGGGGUUAAAUAGUACGUGAAAUUGUUGAAAGGGAAGCACUUGUGACCAGACUUGGGCCGGGCGGCUCAUCAGGGGUUCUCCCCUGUGCACUCCGCCCGGCACAGGCCAGCAUCGGUUUUCGCGGGGGGACAAGACCGCCGGGAACGUAGCACCCUCCGGGGUGUGUUAUAGCCCGGCGGACGAUACCCCCGCGGGGACCGAGGUCCGCGCUCCG
rnacentral:rRNA from 1 species